UACAGAGGUCUCAAGCGUUUGUUCGGAUUCAUUGGGCGUAAAGCGUCCGUAGGUGGCUCUUCAAGUCUGCUGUCAAAGAGUGGGGCUUAACCUUGCCAAGGCAGUGGAAACUGAAAGGCUAGAAAGCCGUAGGGGUAGAGGGAAUUCCCGGUGUAGCGGUGAAAUGCGUAGAGAUCGGGAAGAACAUCGGUGGCGAAAGCGCUCUACUGGACGGUAUCUGACACUGAGGGACGAAAGCUAGGGGAGCGAAUGGG
rnacentral:rRNA from 1 species